UAGCGUAGGGUGCGAGCGUUGCCCGGAUUUAUUGGGCGUAAAGGGCGCGUAGGCGGCCACGCACGUCCGUUGUGAAAUCGCCCGGCUCAACUGGGCGGGGUCAGCGGAUACGGUGUGGCUCGAGCAAGCUAGGGGGCAAUGGAAUUCCCGGUGUAGUGGUGGAAUGCGUAGAUAUCGGGAGGAACACCAGUGGCGAAGGCGGUUGCCUGGAGCUUUGCUGACGCUGAGGCGCGAAAGCGUGGGGAGCAAACAGG
rnacentral:rRNA from 1 species